rnacentral:piRNA from 1 species
UUGGACCGGAGGCGCGGUGGCUCACGCCUA